UGCAAGUCGAGGGGCAGCAUGAUUGAAGCUUGCUUCAAUCGAUGGCGACCGGCGCACGGGUGAGUAACACGUAUCCAACCUGCCGAUAACUCGGGGAUAGCCUUUCGAAAGAAAGAUUAAUACCCGAUAGUAUAGUAUUUCCGCAUGGUUUCACUAUUAAAGAAUUUCGGUUAUUGAUGGGGAUGCGUUCCAUUAGAUAGUUGGCGGGGUAACGGCCCACCAAGUCAACGAUGGAUAGGGGUUCUGAGAGGAAGGUCCCCCACAUUGGAACUGAGACACGGUCCAAACUCCUACGGGAGGCAGCAGUGAGGAAUAUUGGUCAAUGGACGAGAGUCUGAACCAGCCAAGUAGCGUGAAGGAUGACUGCCCUAUGGGUUGUAAACUUCUUUUAUACGGGAAUAAAGUGGAGUAUGCAUACUCCUUUGUAUGUACCGUAUGAAUAAGGAUCGGCUAACUCCGUGCCAGCAGCCGCGGUAAUACGGAGGAUCCGAGCGUUAUCCGGAUUUAUUGGGUUUAAAGGGAGCGUAGGCGGGUGCUUAAGUCAGUUGUGAAAGUUUGCGGCUCAACCGUAAAAUUGCAGUUGAUACUGGGUACCUUGAGUGCAGCAUAGGUAGGCGGAAUUCGUGGUGUAGCGGUGAAAUGCUUAGAUAUCACGAAGAACUCCGAUUGCGAAGGCAGCUUACUGGACUGU
rnacentral:rRNA from 1 species